AACGAACGCUGGCGGCAUGCCUAACACAUGCAAGUCGAACGAGACCUUCGGGUCUAGUGGCGCACGGGUGCGUAACGCGUGGGAAUCUGCCCUUGGGUUCGGAACAACAGUUGGAAACGACUGCUAAUACCGGAUGAUGACUUCGGUCCAAAGAUUUAUCGCCCAAGGAUGAGCCCGCGUAGGAUUAGCUUGUUGGUGAGGUAAAAGCUCACCAAGGCGACGAUCCUUAGCUGGUCUGAGAGGAUGAUCAGCCACACUGGGACUGAGACACGGCCCAGACUCCUACGGGAGGCAGCAGUGGGGAAUAUUGGACAAUGGGCGAAAGCCUGAUCCAGCAAUGCCGCGUGAGUGAUGAAGGCCUAGGGUUGUAAAGCUCUUUUACCCGGGAUGAUGAUGACAGUACCGGGAGAAUAAGCCCCGGCUAACUCCGUGCCAGCAGCCGCGGUAAAAC
rnacentral:rRNA from 1 species